ACGUGGAAAAAGUCAAGGUGUCUGAAUUCCUUCCGAAUGCACUGUACACACAGGCCUGAUUUGAAGGUAAACCAGCACUGACUCCACUCUAUGGAAAGGGGAGACUCUUACGAACAAGGUGAUGUUCUCCGUUUUGUCACAGGUCUCAGCUGAAGGUAACCCAUACAAACUAAUUGAAGUAUGAAGGUAGUUUUCUUCUAACAAAAAUAAGGGGUUACAUUUAAAUAUAUAGUUUAAAAAGUCAGCUUUCUUGUAUCUCCUAGAUAUCGGAGAGACCAGUGCUUAAUUUGUAAAUCGGGAGGUGCCGGAACAAUAAAAAGUGAGCUCGAGAGUCAGGUGACCUGGGGAGUUCUAAGGUACCGGAACGAAUGAAAAAAAUGUAUUACCUUCAUAAUAAAUCUUUGCAUGCGUAUCAUCACAUUUGCGUAGUGGCAUAGAGCAGUAGAAUUAAGGCACUUAUAGAAGUUGCACACAUGGAGAACAUUUUUAGUAGCCUGGGGUCCGGGAAAAUGUUAGUCUUUUAUAAAUGAAUUUCAGCAAUUUUAUGUCAUUUUACCUGACUGGAGACCUUGCCAGAAUCUUUUUUAGUACCGCAAAAAUGAUCGAAAUGACAGGCUACUUUGACACUGACAAACUCAAAAAUCUGAGAUCCAUUAAAAACGACCUUGUCUUGAAUCCAUCAAUAGUCUAGGCCUAGUUGUGUGAAGACACAUAUUGUAGGCUACAAUAUGCGGGGCAAAUUAUAGUCCUAAAAAUGCUUCCAGUUUGACUGACUCACUCAGCUAACUGGCUGGUGAUGGCCGAUGCUCGUGCCAAAAGCCUCUCCCUCCCUCUCGCUCUCUCUUUUGUAAAAAUAAUACUUCGAAGUUGAUCAAAUAUUUUGGUAGCCUACAGCAGUCUUCUCUUUUCAGCAGGAGUCAUUUUCCUUACAACCUGUGUUUUCGCUUGAUUGAACUUGAAAUAUUCAAAUAUUGUGAAAGGCCUUUUUUUUCUGCAUGGUGUUUUUUCACUGACAGAUUUGCCACUCGUUCCCGGAUGUAGACUAUUCCUUGUUUAUUAGGUUACAAUCCACAGCUACUGAUCCUCUGUCACUAAAUUAUAAAUUAUUGUUAUGGUGUAGUGGGCUAUUCUGAACGAUUUAAUCAAUUUCUGAACAGACAGCAGUAAUAAUAUAACUUUGGCAAAUGUAUUUAAAUGUAUCAAAGGGUGCUGCAGUUCAUUCAGAAUCCUUCGCAUGGCUAUGAUUCUAUGAGAAAAUAAAUGAGAGAUGUGAGUUGCAGGCUCAUGUCUAUCAGAGUAGAGAGAGGGAGAGAGGUCAUAGAAAGUGAAACUCAUUCUAGUUAUGUGAGACAUACUGGUCGCUUCUCACACAGCCAAGGCCACGCGUUGGUCUCAAACAUUGCUU
ensembl:lncRNA